UACGGGAGGCAGCAGUGGGGAAUUUUGGACAAUGGGGGCAACCCUGAUCCAGCCAUGCCGCGUGUCUGAAGAAGGCCUUCGGGUUGUAAAGGACUUUUGUCAGGGAGGAAAACGCAUUCGCGAAUAACGGAUGUGGAUGACAGUACCUGAAGAAUAAGCACCGGCUAACUACGUGCCAGCAGCCGCGGUAAUACGUAGGGUGCAAGCGUUAAUCGGAAUUACUGGGCGUAAAGCGUGCGCAGGCGGUUUUGCAAGUCUGAUGUGAAAGCCCCGGGCUCAACCUGGGAACGGCAUUGGAGACUGCAAGGCUAGAGUGCGUCAGAGGGGGGUAGAAUUCCACGUGUAGCAGUGAAAUGCGUAGAGAUGUGGAGGAAUACCGAUGGCGAAGGCAGCCCCCUGGGAUGACACUGACGCUCAAGCACGAAAGCGUGGGGAGCAAACAGGAUUAGAUACCCUGGUAGUCCACGCCCUAAACGAUGUCAAUUAGCUGUUGGGGGUUUGAAUCCUUGGUAGCGAAGCUAACGCGAGAAAUUGACCGCCUGGGGAGUACGGCCGCAAGGUUAAAACUCAAAGGA
rnacentral:rRNA from 1 species